AGUGAACGCUGGCGGUAGGCCUAACACAUGCAAGUCGAACGGCAGCACAGUAAGAGCUUGCUCUUACGGGUGGCGAGUGGCGGACGGGUGAGGAAUACAUCGGAAUCUACUUUUUCGUGGGGGAUAACGUAGGGAAACUUACGCUAAUACCGCAUACGACCUACGGGUGAAAGCAGGGGAUCUUCGGACCUUGCGCGAUUGAAUGAGCCGAUGUCGGAUUAGCUAGUUGGCGGGGUAAAGGCCCACCAAGGCGACGAUCCGUAGCUGGUCUGAGAGGAUGAUCAGCCACACUGGAACUGAGACACGGUCCAGACUCCUACGGGAGGCAGCAGUGGGGAAUAUUGGACAAUGGGCGAAAGCCUGAUCCAGCAAGACCGCGUGGGUGAAGAAGGCCUUCGGGUUGUAAAGCCCUUUCGUUGGGAAAGAAAAGCAGCAGGUUAAAACCCCGCCGUUCUGACGGUACCCAAAGAGUAAGCACCGGCUAACUACGUG
rnacentral:rRNA from 1 species